GAGGGGGUAGCUCAGUGGUAGAGUGUGUGCUUAGCAUGCAUGAGGUCCUGGGUUCAAUCCCUAGCACCUCCG
rnacentral:tRNA from 1 species